UACGAAGGGGGCUAGCGUUGCUCGGAAUCACUGGGCGUAAAGGGUGCGUAGGCGGGUCUUAAGUCAGGGGUGAAAUCCUGGAGCUCAACUCCAGAACUGCCUUUGAUACUGAGGAUCUUGAGUUCGGGAGAGGUGAGUGGAACUGCGAGUGUAGAGGUGAAAUUCGUAGAUAUUCGGAAGAACACCAGUGGCGAAGGCGGCUCACUGGUCCGGUACUGGACGCUGAGGUGCGAAAGCUAGGGGAGCAAACAGG
rnacentral:rRNA from 1 species